rnacentral:rRNA from 1 species
GAUGAACGCUGGCGGCGUGCCUAAUACAUGCAAGUCGAGCGAACAGACGAGGAGCUUGCUCCUCUGACGUUAGCGGCGGACGGGUGAGUAACACGUGGAUAACCUACCUAUAAGACUGGGAUAACUUCGGGAAACCGGAGCUAAUACCGGAUAAUAUAUUGAACCGCAUGGUUCAAUAGUGAAAGACGGUUUUGCUGUCACUUAUAGAUGGAUCCGCGCCGCAUUAGCUAGUUGGUAAGGUAACGGCUUAUCAAGGCGACGAUGCGUAGCCGACCUGAUAGGGUGAUCGGCGACACUGGAACGUGGACAGCGUCCAUGCUCCUGAGGGAGGCAGCAGAAGGCAAUCUUCGGCAGUAGUCGGAAGCCUGACGGAGCGACGCCGCGUGAGAUAUAAAGGUCUUCGGAUCGUAAAACCCUGUUAUUAGGGAUGAACAAAUGUGUAAGUAGCUGUGCACGUCGUGACGGUACCGAAUCAGGAAGCCACGGCUAACUACGUG